GCGCGAAAACUUUGCAAUGCGGGAAACCGUGACAAGGGAACUCCGAGUGCCCGUAAAUUCGGGCUGUCCGCCAGUGUAAAAAACUGGUGAAGAAAGGGCCGGGCAAGACCGGUGCCAGCCGCCGCGGUAAUACCGGCGGCUCGAGUGGUGGCCACUAUUACUGGGCUUAAAGCGUUCGUAGCUGGUCUGUUAAGUCUCUGGGGAAAUCUUCCGGCUUAACCGGAAGGCGUCUCAGGGAUACUGGCAGACUAGGGACCGGAAGAGGUGAGGGGUACUCCAGGGGUAGGAGUGAAAUCCUGUAAUCCUUGGGGGACCACCUGUGGCGAAGGCGCCUCACCAGAACGGCUCCGACAGUGAGGAACGAAAGCUGGGGGAGCAAACCGGAUUAGAUACCCGGGUAGUCCCAGCUGUAAACGAUGCGCGUUAGGUGUAUCGGUGACCACGAGUCACCGAGGUGCCGAAGAGAAAUCGUGAAACGUGCCGCCUGGGAAGUACGGUCGCAAGGCUGAAACUUAAAGGAAUUGGCGGGGGA
rnacentral:rRNA from 1 species